rnacentral:rRNA from 1 species
UACGUAGGGUGCGAGCGUUGUCCGGAAUUAUUGGGCGUAAAGGGCUCGUAGGCGGUCUGUCACGUCAGGAGUGAAAACUCGGGGCUCAACCCCGAGCCUGCUUCUGAUACGGGCAGACUGGAGGUAUGCAGGGGAGAACGGAAUUCCUGGUGUAGCGGUGAAAUGCGCAGAUAUCAGGAGGAACACCGGUGGCGAAGGCGGUUCUCUGGGCAUUACCUGACGCUGAGGAGCGAAAGCGUGGGGAGCAAACAGG